GCCCCUGUGGUGCAAUGGUUAAGUGCUUGGCUCUUAACCAAAAGUUCUGUGGUUUGAACCCACCAGUGGCU
rnacentral:tRNA from 1 species